rnacentral:rRNA from 1 species
CCUACGGGCGUCAGCAGUGGGGAAUAUUGCACAAUGGGGGAAACCCUGAUGCAGCGACGCCGCGUGAGUGAAGAAGUAUUUCGGUAUGUAAAGCUCUAUCAGCAGGGAAGAAAUAUCGACCUUUGGGUCGCCAGACGGUACCUGAUUAAGAAGCCCCGGCUAACUACGUGCCAGCAGCCGCGGUAAUACGUCGGGGGCAAGCGUUAUCCGGAUUUACUGGGUGGAAAGGGAGCGUAGACGGCAGCGCAAGUCUGAAGUGAAAUGCCGGGGCUUAACCCCGGAACUGCUUUGGAACCUGUGCAGCUAGAGUGCAGGAGAGGUAAGUGGAAUUCCUAGUGUAGCGGUGAAAGGCGUAGAUAUUAGGAGGAACACCAGUGGCGAAGGCGGCUUACUGGACUGUAACUGACGUUGAGGCUCGAAAGCGUGGGGAGCAAACAGGAUUAGAUACCCCUGUAGUC